AUUGAACGCUGGCGGCAGGCCUAACACAUGCAAGUCGAGCGGAUGAAGGGAGCUUGCUCCUGGAUUCAGCGGCGGACGGGUGAGUAAUGCCUAGGAAUCUGCCUGGUAGUGGGGGAUAACGUCCGGAAACGGGCGCUAAUACCGCAUACGUCCUGAGGGAGAAAGUGGGGGAUCUUCGGACCUCACGCUAUCAGAUGAGCCUAGGUCGGAUUAGCUAGUUGGUGGGGUAAAGGCCUACCAAGGCGACGAUCCGUAACUGGUCUGAGAGGAUGAUCAGUCAACAGGGAAACUGGGACAGGGUCCGAAUGCUAAGGGGAGGCGGAGGGGGGAAUAUUGGACAAUGGGCGAAAGCCUGAUCCAGCCAUGCCGCGUGUGUGAAGAAGGUCUUCGGAUUGUAAAGCACUUUAAGUUGGGAGGAAGGGCAGUAAGUUAAUACCUUGCUGUUUUGACGUUACCAACAGAAUAAGCACCGGCUAACUUCGUG
rnacentral:rRNA from 1 species